rnacentral:rRNA from 1 species
GAUGAACGCUGGCGGCGUGCCUAAUACAUGCAAGUCGAGCGAACAGACGAGGAGCUUGCUCCUCUGACGUUAGCGGCGGACGGGUGAGUAACACGUGGAUAACCUACCUAUAAGACUGGGAUAACUUCGGGAAACCGGAGCUAAUACCGGAUAAUAUAUUGAACCGCAUGGUUCAAUAGUGAAAGACGGUUUUGCUGUCACUUAUAGAUGGAUCCGCGCCGCAUUAGCUAGUUGGUAAGGUAACGGCUUACCAAGGCGACGAUGCGUAGCCGACCUGAGAGGGUGAUCGGCCACACUGGAACUGAGACACGGUCCCGACUCCUACGGGAGGCAGCAGUAGGGAAUCUUCCGCAAUGGGCGAAAGCCUGACGGAGCAACGCCGCGUGAGUGAUGAAGGUCUUCGGAUCGUAAAACUCUGUUAUUAGGGAAGAACAAAUGUGUAAGUAACUAUGCACGUCUUGACGGUAACUAAUCAGAAAGCCACGGCUAACUACGUG